GAUGAACGCUAGCUACAGGCUUAACACAUGCAAGUCGAGGGACCGGCGCACGGGUGAGUAACACGUAUCCAACCUGCCCUUUACUCGGGGAUAGCCUUUCGAAAGAAAGAUUAAUACCCGAUAUAAUGGAUGGGGAUGCGUUCGAUUAGGUUGUUGGUGAGGUAACGGCCCACCAAGCCUUCGAUGGAUAGGGGUUCGGAGGGGAAGGUACCCCACAUUGGAACUGAGACACGGACCAAGAUCCUACGGGAGGCAGGAGUAAGGAAUAUUGGUCAAUGGAGGUUAGCGUGAACCAGCCAAGUAGCGUGAAGGAUGAAGGCUUAUGAGUCGUAAACUUCUUUUAUAUAAGAAUAUGUAUUAUAUGAAUAAGGAUCGGCUAACUCCGUGCCAGCAGCCGCGGUAAUAC
rnacentral:rRNA from 1 species